rnacentral:lncRNA from 1 species
CUGUGUGUACAUAUAUUUAUAAUUAUUUCUACAUACAAGCAUUUUCACCAAUAAUAAGCUAAACAUGAGUUUUACUAAUGUCUCAGACUCUAUUACUAUGCAGAAUAUCUCUUUUUAUCACUGAAUAAUAUUCCUUUGAAUGGACAUACCAGAGUUUGUUUAUUCCUUCAUCUAUUGAAGGAUAUCUUGGAUGCCUCCAGGUUUUAAAGCUCAUAAUAAAGUACUAAAAACAUUUAUUUUUGCAGGGUUUUAAGUUUUCAAAGAAGAUUACAAUACAGCAGUUAACAUCACCUCUUCUUCCUAAACCACCUUCUAAUUCUAUUAGCCAUCUACUGAAGCCAUCAAAAAUUUUUCCCAGCAACUUUGUGUAUCUGCCCAAGCAGCCUCAAGUUAUCCAGUACAAUUUUCACUGCAUAUCAGCUAGUCACUUUUUUCAAAACUCACCUAUGAAUUUAACUCAAUUGAAUAAGCACUUUAAAAAGGUCUAUUAUGUGCCAAGCAAUGUACUAGGAUUCAAAAGAUAAAUGCAACAGCAAUGCUGGCCCUCAGCGAGGGAGAAUAAAACACUUCACCUGAAGCAAGAAGCAUCACAGGAGCACUUCACAGAGCACCCAAGUUUGCCCCAGAGCUACCUCUCCCUGCAGUGGCUGUCUUAACCCCAAGUAGAAGCUAGCCUGGGGCUCCCUAGGGAUAUGAACUGCCUGUGUAUUUUUAUGGGAGCCUCUACUCUUCUGCCACCACGCACAUGAGCUGUCCCAGAUGUCUUGCUAAUGAGAAUAAAACUCUCAUCAUCACAGUCAAUCAACAUUCCUGAGCCUUAUUCCUCCAAUACAAUGACAUUCUUUCCUCUACCCUUAUUUUCCUUACAAGGUUUGGAAUCACAUACCAGUUAUAUUCCUGAAAAUGUAAAAACUAAAAUACCAUGCCAGAGAAUGAUUAAACUGAAAUGUUACAAGCACAUCUAAUUUUAAAUAUUGCCUAUAUCUCUGGAAUUCUUACUUUUCCCAACAGAAAUAAGAAAACAGUAUAAAAAAACCAUAAAAAAAUCAAUCUAUUUUUUAUAUGCAAAAUGACUUUACAAGGAAAAUAAUGCAUUUUAUUCUGCAAAUUUACUUCUCCCUAAUUAACAUAAUAAAGGUACUGCUAGGCACAAACUAACAUAUAAGGUUCAAUAGAAUAUUUGACCCACUUCUGGGAAUUUACCCUAUAAAAAUAAUUCAACAAAAUACUAAUUCUAUGCAGAAAGAUGUUCAUUAUUACAUUAUGUAUAAUAAUAAAAAACUGAAAACAACCAAAACAGUCCCAAAGUAGGGAGAGAGAUGAGCAAACAUGAAGAAAUUAGGUCAACAGCAUAAUACAUACCAAUUCAGAGUAAUUUUAAAAACAAGUAUGUGAAAUGUCCGAUACAAUGAUUCAGAAAUAGUAUAAUAUAAAAUCACAAAUACACUUACACAUUGCAAAAUAUGUGUAUUUAUCAGAAACUCAAUUUAGGUAAUGAAAUUAAUCCCAUUUUUCCUUAAAAUUUUCUCUCACAAUAAAAGUUUGAAGGAAAAAAGUCACUUUUAUUGAGACUGAAUUUUGCAGGUUCUUCCAAAUCAUAUUGAACAGAAAAAAAAAAAAAAAAAGGAUCUAGCUGGAAGGGGUGCAGGGGAUAACUGAGCUCAAGAAAUAAAAGGUGCUAAAAUAUCUAACUUGCCUGAUUUGAAUCCCAGCUCUUCCAGCUAAGCUCUGUAACUGCAGGACAGUUACUAAUCUCUAAGAGUCCCCCAUAAAAUUUACUCUUAAAGUUUUGUAACUAAAAAAGAACUGUAUAUAACAAGUGUAUGAUAAACUUACAUUAUCAUUAUACUUAUAUACAUUUAUAAAUUUAAGUAUAUGAUAAAGUUCAUUAGUCCCUUCAUAUAUACAUAUAUAUAUAUGUUGAUCAGAUAACAGUGUUGAAGAGAAAUACUCUGAAAACCAUCAAUAUAAUCUUAAAGCAGUACAUAUUUUGUGUUGAUUAUCUGUCGUGUAUUGGCAAGACUACAAUUUCUGAAAAUCUGCUCUUAAAUUAUUUUCUACAAAAGUCCAAUGGUUUAAAAUAUCCUUAAAUUAGAAUAAUUUGAUAGUAUCCCAUAAAAAAUACCUACUGAUUUAAUAUUUCAAACACAUAUCUACUCAUUUUACUUGUGAGCUUUGUUUGUUUUAUUUUUUAUCUCAUUAAAUAGCUUUUUUUUUUAAAUGAGGACAUUUUAUUUAAUUAAUUAAUUUAUUUAUUUAUUUAUUUAUUUUUGGUCUUUUUGCUAUUUCUUGGGAAGUGCAUGCUAAAGAAUUUGGGGGUAAGGUGUCAGGAUGCUACAACGUGCAUGCAGCAAGGUAGCAAAGAAAUAGAGGAGAAGGGAGCAAAAGCAAAUGUCACAAAUACUAAUGUGAGCAUUAACAUAUAUCUUUUCUAUCAAAGGAAGUCUUGGUUACUCCAUUUUGUUCCUGCUUCGUCUAAGAUACCCUCCUCCACCUCCACCCUCUUCUCUCUUCUCCCAGUAAUAAUUUGUUUCAGAUUAGCCAACCAAGAAGAAUGUGCACCCUGACCUGACCAAUGGGAAGGGGACAGAUGUACCACCUGCAUUAGGGAUAAAUAGGAAGGUCUUCCUUCUUUUGUGCACACUUUUUGAGCACUUGCACCCUUCUGCAGAAGAGCCUUGUCGAGAUGCCCCCGUGGUUCAUGUGUCUCACUUUCUGACAAUGACAAUUCAAGCUAGAGUCACUUUUCCCCAACACUAAUAUUCAGUUGGUCGAAGUGAAGAAUAUACAGAUACUCAAUGUUCCAGUCUUAACCUUCUGUAGGCUUGUAUGUUUUUUAAACUAUAAAGUUGGGAGGGGGAAGAAUGAGUGUAGGGGCUUCAGUGUUUUCAUCUACUUGCAGUACUGAGCUUUGCUCAUAUACCCAAAAAACACCCAAAUCCUCAUAACUUUUCUCUCAGCAGCAAAAGAUGAUAAAUUAAAUGCUGAUGUAUGAUAGGCAGCACAGACAUAAAAGUCUUUCUUUUUGAAGCACAGGAAAUGCUGCCUUAAAAAAAAACAAAUUCAGAAGAGAGUUUUCAAGGGUGAGUGGAUUUUAAAAAGCCUAGUCUAAGAAAACAACACAGCUCCCAAACUUUAUUACAUAAGUUAAAAGAAAAGCCCCAAUCAAUUUAGAGAAAGCCAGGAAGUAAGAAUAGUAAGAUAUUUUCAAAAAAUGUAAAUCAUAUUGCCCAUUUAUAAAUUUAAAGGAUUUAUCAAACAUGAUUUAUCACCAUGGGCAAGAAAAUCUUAACAUUUAAUUUGUUUAUCUUUCAAUGAGUCAAGUGUGAAAAGAAUGCUGAACGAAUAUAAAAAGUUUAAUAACCAGAAAUCUUUCUUCUAGUAGGAUUUCAUUAUGUUGCUUACAAUAUGUAAAAGUUAGAUGAUUAAGAACAGUCUUUGAAAAAUAUGAAACUCCAAAAGAGGACCUGUAAAGAAUAAGAAAACUGUGUUAUGCACAUAAUGGGAGUUCAAAUAUUUACUUAAUAGAAAUACUUGCAAAAGACAAAAGUAUGCAUAUGCCUUUAAAAUGUGCUACUGUGUCCAGCAAAACAGGGGCAUGUAAAAAAAUUUCACUAAGACUGCAACACUGCAAUUAUCAGAUAUAUAUGUAUACCCUAGCAAAAUCCUUGCCAAAAAAAACUGGCACAGUGGCUGUUUGAAGUAGUAUAUAUUUACUCUAUCAAAAACUAAUCACAAGUCCUAAAGGGAUCCUCCUUCACAAGAAAGAGCCUCCACAGACACACAGGGAAGAGAAAUGCCUCUCCUAUGAGUCAAGAGACCGAGUACUAGAAACCAAAGAGAAGACAUGAUUUUAAGAAUCAGGGCUAUUCCUUAUACCCCUGGAGAUUUCCAGAGCUACUCUUCAAGUCAGACAUACUCAAGCCUGCAGAACUUGCAAGAGACCUUUCAGACUGGGUUCUAACUUGGCCAGAUAUCCCUGAUGGCAACUGACUCCCAGGAAUACAAACUCUUUACUGGUUCAUCUCUCAAGAGACUUAAAAAGCCUACAUCCAGCUCAAGGACACCUGCCACGCCCAGUCAGUCUUCCACAUCAAGUGAAACAACAAGCUUCUCUUCCAAGUCUAUAAUUAAUCAGACCAAGAAUCAGCACCUGAAGUACAGCUAGACAUAAUGGAAGAGAGGGUGAAGAGGAAUGCUGGUUAGACUGGCACUGUCUAAAACGGUUGUCACUGGCCACAAAUGGCUUUAGGUACUUGGAAUCUGUCCAGUCUGAAUUGAGAUGUGUUAAAAGUACAAAAUAGAUGCCAAAUUUCAAAGACUUACUAUGAAGAAAUGUAUGUAAAAUACCUCAUCAGUAACUUCCUAUUGAUUAUAUUUUGAAAUAUUUCAUAUAUGCUGAAUUAAAGUUAAUUCCACCUUUUUCAUUUUGUUUAUAUGGCUACUAUAAAUUUUUAAAUUACAUUCUGCUCAUAUUAUCUUCUUAUGGGACAGCAGUAACUCUAUGACCAAAAAGAAAGCUCAAAAAAAGCAGCAGCAACUUUAUUAAGGGCAUUCACUGUGUUUCAGAUAUGUGCUAACUACUUCAAAAACAGUAGUCCUCAAAGCAGCUUCUUAAAUGCAUACCUGUUUCAAGAAAAGGGAAAUUUGGCUUGUGGGGGAGGGAGAAGAGACAUGAAACAAAAUAAAACCCUGAAGCAAAACACAGAGCUAGUUAAGUACCAGAGCAGGGAUGUGAACUCAAACCUUCUCAUUUCAGACCUUAAGUCCAGAAUCCCUACUCCAAAAUGUAGUAUCAUCUAAGAACUUGUUAGAAAUAGUAAUUCUCAGGCCAUAUACCAAACCUAGAGAAUCAAACUCUGGAGGUAAGGUUUAGCAGUCAGUAUUUUAACAAGCCCUCCAGCUGAUGUUGAUUUAGCCCCAAAGUUUUCUGAACUAUACAGAUAAACAGUCAAUCAAAUCCUUCCAAAGGAAGAUAACUAUGAGAAAUCUGAGAAAAGGCUAGUCUCUGUUACUAUAUCCUUUGUUGACACUUCUAGAGUCCUGCUCCAUCUAUGAACAUGGAGGUUCUGCAGUUGCAUCCUGACUUUCCAAAGCAUACCUUAAACAAGACCAUCGUCUAGGACAUCAUUUUAUUUCAUUUAACAUCCAAACGAAGUAAAGAUUUAAAUGCAAAUGAAAUUACAAAAUUACUAGCAAAAAAUACAUAGUUUUUAAAAUGAUAUUAGGGUGAAGGCCUAAGUAUGAUCCAAACCCUGACACUAUAAAAGACUAAUUCAGCAAUUUUUUAAAAAGUCAAAAUUGUAUAAAAACACCAUCAGAAGGUUUUUGAAAUAAAAACUGGGGCAGGGUGAUUUUUUGCAACAAAUACCACAAAGGGCUAAUUUCUUAGUUUAUAAAAAGGAUUCCUACAAAUCAAAAGAAAAAGAACCACCCAAGAGAUGGUGAAAUUUGAAAUCUCCAAAUUAACUAAUUAAAAUAGAUGGGUCACAAUAAAGAAAAUGCAAAUGCUCAAUUUCACUCAUAACUGGAGAAAUGAAAAUUAAAAUAAUUUUUUUUCACGUUUCUGACUGGCAAAGAUCAAAAGGGUUUAAAAUCAUGUCUAAAGGUAAGCUUUGAAUAUUCUUGCCCUAGCCCACUCUCCACCUUCUGCAAUUCAGUUUGUGGUCAUUUCAUUCAGGAAUUGCUUAGGCCAAAAAAUAUUAAUAUCAUACUUUAUUGAUCUGUCUGUUUCUCUCUCCCUUUCCCUUCUCCCCCAAAAUCUAAUCUGCCCAUGAUCCUGCCAAUUCCACCUUCAAAAAAAAAAAAAAAAA